GUGGGGAAUCUUCCGCAAUGGACGAAAGUCUGACGGAGCAACGCCGCGUGAGUGAAGAAGGUUUUCGGAUCGUAAAACUCUGUCGUUUGGGACGAACGUAUUCUAGGUAAAUAAUCUAGAGUAAUGACGGUACCAAAGGAGGAAGCCACGGCUAACUACGUGCCAGCAGCCGCGGUAAUACGUAGGUGGCAAGCGUUGUCCGGAAUUAUUGGGCGUAAAGGGCGUGUAGGUGGAUGAUUAAGUCUUGUGUCUAAGUGCGGGGCUCAACCCCGUAUGGGCGCAGGAAACUGGUUAUCUUGAGUGCAGGAGAGGAAAGCGGAAUUCCCAGUGUAGCGGUGAAAUGCGUAGAUAUUGGGAGGAACACCAGUGGCGAAGGCGGCUUUCUGGACUGUGUCUGACACUGAGGCGCGAAAGCCAGGGGAGCGAACGGGAUUAGAUACCCUAGUAGUCC
rnacentral:rRNA from 1 species